AGCAGGUAAUAGGGGCUCCAGUUCCCAACCAUAGGGUCCUCCUCUUGGCCACAGCAGAUGAAGAUCUGGGUGGAUAUCUGGCCUGGCUUGGCUGAUCAGCUUCCCUCCUCUGGAAAUCUGGUGUUAGGGGAUCCUGUGCACUUUAUUCUUCCCUACCAGCCUCAGAAGCCACGUGCUGAAGACAGUGAAGUUCUGUCUGGGAAGAAGCAUCGAUCCCUAAAUGACUGCAUGGAGCAGAGCAGAGAUGUCUGCUCACUAAGUUGGUUCGAAGCUGAGGAGGAAAAAAAUUAGGUGCUAGGAUGCUGGAGAGAUCCUCAGAAACCCCUCUACAUGAAUCAUUUAAGUAGAUGAAGAGCUAGAUUGCAAUAAUCAUUGGGAGGAGAAGAAGAAUAAAACAUGAGAUUCCAUUCACAUCCCAGAAUUAAAGGUACUGUCGUGAUGCCCAUUUUACAGAUGAAGAAACUGAGGUUUCCAGAGGUCCAGUCCCUGCCUGAGCUGAUGCAGUUACGAAGGCUGAAGCCCGGACUUGAUUUGAGUUCGGCCUGCGGAGCCCCGGCUGAGCUACCUGCCUUCUAGCCCCACGGUGGAAAGGGAGAAUCCAGACAUCCUUGAGACCUACCCAAGGAGUUUCCCUGUUACUGCCCUGCCAUCCUUCUGAUGCCACCCUGUUCCGUAUCUGGCUGGAGCCAGCGUGGUUGUGUCUGGGUUUGGCUCCAUAGUAGAUGUUCUCGGUGGCCUUACUAUUCCUGUGCACGCCGGCCACUUUUGCCUGAAGCUCUCUGUGGCUGCCAAUGCCCACUUUGUUGAAAGUACUUGGAAAUUAAGACCCUCUAGGGAGUAUCUCUGAGUUGUGCCUGGUGAGAUUUCAUGAAGGAAUGGCCCAGCUCCUGCAGACCUAGGCGGGAUGUCUGAGGUGCACCUUCUACACGCUCUUUCAGUUGGAUUAAGUCCUAGGAUGCCCACAGGGGUCACUGAGAGGUUAACAAACAUUUUUUUUUUUUUU
rnacentral:lncRNA from 1 species